UGGGGAAUAUUGCACAAUGGGCGCAAGCCUGAUGCAGCAACGCCGCGUGAGGGACGACGGCCUUCGGGUUGUAAACCUCUUUUAGUAGGGAAGAAGCGAAAGUGACGGUACCUGCAGAAAAAGCACCGGCUAACUACGUGCCAGCAGCCGCGGUAAUACGUAGGGUGCAAGCGUUAUCCGGAAUUAUUGGGCGUAAAGAGCUCGUAGGCGGUUUGUCGCGUCUGCUGUGAAAACUGGAGGCUCAACCUCCAGCCUGCAGUGGGUACGGGCAGACUAGAGUGCGGUAGGGGAGAUUGGAAUUCCUGGUGUAGCGGUGGAAUGCGCAGAUAUCAGGAGGAACACCGAUGGCGAAGGCAGAUCUCUGGGCCGUAACUGACGCUGAGGAGCGAAAGCAUGGGGAGCGAACAGGAUUAGAUACCCCGUAGUCC
rnacentral:rRNA from 1 species